rnacentral:rRNA from 1 species
CCUACGGGAGGCAGCAGUGGGGGAUAUUGCACAAUGGGGGAAACCCUGAUGCAGCGACGCCGCGUGUGGGAAGGCGGUCCUCUGGAUUGUAAACCACUGUCCCCAGGGACGAAGAUUACGGUACCUUGGGAGGAAGCUCCGGCUAACUACGUGCCAGCCGCCGCGGUAAUACGUAGGGAGCGAGCGUUGUACGGAAUUACUUGGUGAAAAGGGAGCGUAGGCGGGGAUGCAAGUUGGGUGUCAAAACUACCGGCUCAACUGGUAGUCGCACUCAGAACUGCAGCUCUUGAGUGAAGUAGAGGUAGGCGGAAUUCCUAGUGUAGCGGUGAAAUGCGUAGAUAUUAGGAGGAACACCAGUGGCGAAGGCGGCCUACUGGGCUUUUACUGACGCUGAGGCUCGAAAGUGUGGGGAGCAAACAGGAUUAGAUACCCCUGUAGUC